UUGUUUAAGUCAGUUUUCUACGUCUACACGGGCCCUCCUUCUUAAGGUGGAGUUGGAGACAGGUAGAGUCUUUCUAUUCAUUUUAUCUAAAAAUAAAAAUUUUAGAAACACAUUUUUGUUAUUAUUCUGAGACCAGACAGGAUUUUAAAGCAGGCAAACAAGCCUCAACCUAGACCACAGGACAAAACAUUGAAAUGACAGAACUUACACAUUAUAACAGAGAAGAAGCUGUUAUAGCCACUUAUACUGGCAAUAACAGCUAUUUUUUUUAAAUGAAGAAUAUAUUAUAACAGUCAAAGCUUAACGUCCAUUACAGUUGCUUUUUAAGUACAGAUGUGCGUGUGCAAGAUUUCUGAUAGCAUAUUACAAGCUCAGGUUUCCCUCCCCUUGUAACACACACAUAAUAUUUCUGGCAGAAAUUAUUUGCAGUUUUAGAAAAAGUGUCUAAAUGAACUCUAAGAUUGAAUUUUGGCUUACUUCAGUGAGGUAGCAGACAAGGUGGAGGGGGGAAGGCAGGCUGAAUUGAUCUGUAACAGAAGACAUAAAUAAAAUUAAUGAUUAUAAUGAUGAAACUACAGAAAAUCUUUCUUUUUGUGGCAUGUUGGAUAUUAAACUUUGGUAAUUUAAAGUAUUUUAAUUGUAUCAAUAGGGACUUUCAGUAAGUCAGAGUCCAAAUAUGCAUUGUGGAAAAGUUUAAGGUCAAGCAAAGACAAUAAAUAGGGUUCAUACACUUUCAACGCACAGGAGUUGUUGAAUUUACUCGCGAGAAGUUAAUACCUACGCUUGGGGAAUUUGCAAGGAUUGUUUUCUUCUGACUUAAUUAUAAUUCCAUACUGGUCUUAUCCAUUACUGGAAUUUGCGGUUUUCUAGCCAACCAGCCAACAAUAAUUAAAGCCCCACUCUGGCCGGUUAAAAAAAUGUGUAAUUGACACCGAAUUGUCUUGGAGUGGCCACAGGAGGCGGUGUGUGUGGUGGAGAGGAGGUGAAGGACCAGCAAAAGGGAAUUAGGUUUUAUGGCCCUCACCUGCUUUCUGUUGGCAUGCGUUGCCUCAUUUUCGUUUGUUUGGUGUGGCGUGGUGUCCGGUUUCCCCGUGGCUUCUUUUUCCUUGUUGGAUGUUUGCUUGGUGAGUUGUCGGUUUGAAUUUUUAUCUUCGUUUCUUCUGAAUUGUAUGGAUCGUAUUUAAGGAUUUUUAUUGUUUAUUAUUAGUCUUAAGGUGACGGGCAGCCUUAUAGAUGAUCCGUAAUAUAGCACCCCUCGGUGACGGAACGAGUUUUCACGGUGCACAAUGAAGUGGAAAUAAAGAGUUGAAGCACCUGUCGAGACUCCCGUUUAUCGACCCAGGGGCAGCUACAGUGAAAACUCGUCCAUCGGAAGAGUAAGGCUUCAGCUAAGAAAAUCAACGUUAUUGCACAAGUAUUUGAUAACGGCGGUCUGGCCCAGUGUACGCCCCUUUCGCGCACCGGCGAGCUCAGCCAAUGGACGGUAUUUGUUACGCUUCUAGUUCAAGCGAACUGGGUAGCGAUACAUAAGAGACUGGUGAUAAAGCCUAUGAUUAAGUGCUUAAUGUUUAGGGUUUGAAUGUGUUUUAUAAUGUAUUCCUUUUCUCCUUUUUGGGGUUGAAGGGUAAAGUUAUAUUGAUUAAAAUAUUUGUAGUUUA